AGAGGUUUAAGUUAAAAAAACUAAUAGCCUUCAAAGCUUUAAUCGACAAGUAGUCAAUCUCUA
rnacentral:tRNA from 1 species